ACUAGUGAAACUUCUCAGUCGAAUGCAAUUGUUAGUUUUUGUGUGUGUAAAACCUAUCAAAUUACUUUCGAUUCAGAUUUUGUGAAAAUGGACUCUGCACCAAAGCCAAAGACAGAUACCGUGGCUGUAUAUCAGUGUUUUCACUGCAACAACAUUUACUACAUGUCCAAUGUGGGCAAAGAUAAUUUGGUACUUUGUCUAAUUUGCCAGCGCAUGAAUUAUCCACGUAAAAUCACAAGUGUUUGACAACCAGUGGCGUGAAAAAAUUCUCUCAAACUGUGUCAUCGUCGACCGGGCGAUAAUUGAGCAAAACAUAGAUAUAAUCAAAUCAAGCGGAAAUGCAUUUAUUUCUUCAAAUUGAUUAAACAAUUGAUCAAAUUUGAUAUAUCGAAAUCAUAUUUCAUUAAAUAAAACAUUUGUUCAUAUCAUAACAAUACGAAUGUUUACAUUCUUUGCAAUUAUUUUCAAUCAACAAACGUUUAAAAUCAGCAUUUAACGCGCAAGUAUUUCUGAUGUAGCAGACAUUUUGUGCAUAUUUUGCAUUAGCACAAAAUUCUUCGGUUGUUUUACUUGCAUAUUAUCUUUAGUUUCUACUUCACUUUGUUCAGUUCAUCGCAGUCAGUCGAUCGAAGCAAUUUAGCUUUAAAACGUGUACUUACUUAAAGCCGAAUCAAAGCCUUAACUUGACUAAACCGAUUUGAAGUCUUUACUUGGUUGAACCGAACCGAAGUUCUUUGCAAUGGAAAAACGAGACAUUAGAAUUCCAGAGCAAAAAAUUCAGCAACUUUUGGAGCUGGAGGUGGAUUACCAAAAACAUCGUAAACGUAUCAUAAGAAGCAUUCACGAUAGUUUGCAGAGACAAGAAGCGUAUUGGGACAAAAAGGAACGAGAAGCGGCCGAGAAGGCUGAGAAGGCUGGAAAAGAUAGAAAAACUGGAAAAGCCAAGAAAUGAGACAUUCAAACAGGAUUGAUUUGCGUCAAUUUUCCAAAAAAAAAUAUUCGUGUCAAUAUCGAACAUUGUAAUAAAAAUCACAAUCAAGUGGAAAUAAGUAUCGAUGUUUUUGUAAUUCAUUCAUCAAGUUUUCAGGCUUUGUGUAUACUCAUAACUCUUUCGGAGCGAUUAUUUUAAGCGGAUAUUGCAAAAUAUCAACACGUCUGCUUCUGAAUACUUUAAUGAAAUGCAAACAAUCAGCUCAUUCUGUAGCGAUGGCGA